UUAGACUUAUUUCUUAGAAUAAUGAAUUUUUAAUUCAUAGGGCUAAUCUAAA
rnacentral:tRNA from 1 species